GAUUUCCUUAGGUUCUUUUUUUGCUAGUUGAUGUUCACUUCUUUCUAGUUUUCUCCCAUUCAUCCUAAUUGUAGAUUGCAACUACUUCUGACAUUUAGUAAGUGCAUUAUGGUAUAUAUUUACAUUUUUCUUUAUUACUUCACUGCUGCAAUGUCCAUUACUUGUUCCACAAGGCUAAGAGUGUCAGAUUGGACUCAAGUUAUUGUGCUGUUACAGGGAGCAAGUGUUUGCAUUUUUGGGUUUAUAGCUUUAAUU
rnacentral:misc_RNA from 1 species